GGAUGUGAGGGUGACCUGGCUGCCACAUGUCACCCCCUGAUCGCCAGAGUCGAAUCGGCUGUGUGGUGGGCUAGGCAAGUGUCUUGGUCCUUCCUCACCGCUCCACCUGUGUCCCUCCUGAAGCUAAGCCUUCCCUGAUAGAGGAGGACCUUUCUCCGGUCAGGGGUACAGGAGUGGCUGCGUUCCCCUGCCAGAACCCCCGCACAAGCCUUCACUGAUCUGUUCAU
rnacentral:sRNA from 1 species